rnacentral:lncRNA from 1 species
GUGUGACCUCAUGUCCACCCCGCCCCCGGGAGCCUGUGCCUCCUGAGGACAUGUGGCCAUGACAGCCCCCUGGAAGGGUGGACCUCUUGGCCUUUCGUUGGUCCUGGACCUGCAGCACAUCUUUGAGUUUUGUUCUCGGCUGACUCCCCAGUACCAGGCAGAUAGUAGGCGCUCAGGAAGGAAUGAAGUGAAGAAAUUGGACCCAGAGAGUUGAAGUAGAUUGCCCAGAGUCAUAUGGGGCGUGAUCUGGAGUCCAGUUUCCAGAACUCCCUGGAGGAUUCACGAGCCUCAGACAAUGAAGUGCCUCAUCUGGAGAGAAAGGAGGAGCACAGGGGUCACCAGAGUCCAUCUGGCUGCAGUGACCUUGGAGUGACUAUAGCUGCUUACUCCUGUUGACUGAAGCCACUCAGCAGGGCUCAAGGAGGAGAAGUCCCAUCCAGAAAGAGGAGCCAUGGCCAACCAAGGAUAGCAGGUAAGGAAGCUGGUGGGGCCCCACUGAGGAGGAGGGUGGAGUAGCCAGCUGGG